rnacentral:rRNA from 1 species
AUGCAGUCGAGCGAGAAGGCCUUCGGGCUGAGUACAGCGGCGGACGGGUGAGUAACGCGUAGGAAUCUACCUGGUAGUGGGGGACAACAUGGGGAAACUCAUGCUAAUACCGCAUACGCCCUAUGGGGGAAAGCGGGGGACCUUCGGGCCUCGCGCUAUCAGAUGAGCCUGCGUAGGAUUAGCUUGUUGGUGAGGUAAAGGCUCACCAAGGCGACGAUCCUUAGCUGGUCUGAGAGGAUGAUCAGCCACACUGGGACUGAGACACGGCCCAGACUCCUACGGGAGGCAGCAGUGGGGAAUAUUGCGCAAUGGGCGAAAGCCUGACGCAGCCAUGCCGCGUGUGUGAAGAAGGCCUUAGGGUUGUAAAGCACUUUCAAUUGGGAAGAAAGGUUGCGUGUUAAUAGCACGUAGCUGUGACGUUACCUUUAGAAGAAGCACCGGCUAACUCCGUGCCAGCAGCCGCGGUAAUACG